rnacentral:ribozyme from 1 species
GAAAGAACCGAGGUGACGACUAAUCAAAUAGGGCAAGCAGGGAAUCUUGAGAAGGUCGAAAACUCAGGAACCACUGAAGACGGUCAAGGUAUUCCCAAAAAGAAGAAGAAGAAAAGCAAGGUGAAGGAAGGCGAAGAUGGGAAAGCAGGAGA